GACAGAGGGUGCAAACGUUGUUCGGAAUUACUGGGCGUAAAGCGCGUGUAGGCGGCUAAGUAAGUCGGGCGUGAAACCCCACGGCUCAACCGUGGAAGUGCACUCGAAACUGCAUAGCUAGAGUCCUGGAGAGGAAGGUGGAAUGCUUGGUGUAGAGGUGAAAUUCGUAGAUAUCAAGCGGAACACCGGUGGCGAAGGCGGCCUUCUGGACAGUGACUGACGCUGAGACGCGAAAGCGGUGGGGAGCAAACAGG
rnacentral:rRNA from 1 species